UCUAUGUUGCUUGAAUGGAAGCCUUUGCUUUUAGUUUCCACUUUUUUCUAAGCUGUUCACUUGGUCUAUACCCAGAAGUAUGAAAGUGGCUACACUAAUCUAGUUGCUUCUCUAAUGCUUCAGGUGUGAAUAUUGUAACUUUGUGUGCUCCAGCUUUGGUACUUUGUUCUGGAUGCAUGACAGAGAAAAAUUCAAGGCUAUGCUGCAAAAUGUUUGUCUUUCUUCUUUUAAGGCUAACAACCAAGCCCUAUGAUUUUUUCCUCCUCUCCCUCUGUGCUGUAGCUUUUUCACACCUCUCCACUGAAGAACUCCUUCAGAAGCACUAAAAGGAGUCGCUACUUCUUUGGAUAAGAGGUGGUUAAAAAGGCACAGGACUGUGAGGGGGAGAUGGAGCUAUGGAGCUGAGCAAGGCUGAGUCAAGGCAGAGGAAGAGGCAGCAUCAGCUGAAGUCAAGGAGAGAAAACUCUGAUUAUAUAUCACUGUGAAAUGCUAAAAGAGCUGGGCCAUGAAUAUUUCCAUCAACCUGUGUCUCUUCUACCCCACAGAUUCCACUUCCACAAUACAGGCUGUGCUGCAGUAAAAGAAUUCUCUUCCUAAGGACUCAGGAUAUUCACAGUGAGUGCCUCAUUCUGCUCCUGGAGGAGCCCAGCACAACAGGGUGUAAUAGCAGCAGAGACCUUUCCAGAGUGGAGGAGGCUACAAUCUGGUACUAAAAUAAGGAGAGUACAGUGGGGACUCUGCAGGGCAGGAGGGAGUUGCACAGGGAAGAAAGAGAACUUCUGGGGAUUCCUGGCUGGCAGCACCUUGUCAUUCUCCUUGUUGGCUAUUUCUGUAUUUUUACCCAAUGUCUGUUUCAUGUAAAAUCUGUGGAUGGUCCCUGGAGUUGGAGUAGGAUCUAAGUCUCCUUUUCCAGGACAACGUUCUGACUGGCAGGAUAGAGAUCUGAAGUUUAUUAACUACACCUUCAGCACCUUUUGCUUGUGGAGGUCAGACACUGGAGAGAGGACAAUAACUUUAUGCUCACAGCAAUUUUAUAAUCUACUGCUGUUCCGUCCUCUGGGUCUCUUGCAGGAAACUGGUGUCAGAAAGAUGCUGCUGCAGCUUUUGCCAGCAAGGAGUAAUGAUCCCAAAUGCAGCACCCUCUGUACACAUAUCACUGUCUGGGGAUGCUAACAUUGCAAACUGAUUAUACACUUCAAAAGUACCUAACAACCUUCUAUUUAUUUCCUUUGCAGGAGAAAUUCCCCAAGUAGGUCUGUGUCAGUCCUCCCGACCAUUUCUAUUCAUUGCAUUGUUCAAUCAGAAGUGUUAAAAAUACAUUUUUGGAAGCUUUGUUUGAUUGAAAUUCCUCAUGUCCAAAUUAAUUUGGAUGAGUUGGAAAGCUAUUAAUUCUUUGGAGGAGGGAAGCAGGGUGGAAUUGAAAGAUAGCAUGGCAGUUUUGGAGCCAAGCAAAGGGUGUAUUUGCAAACUACAGGUACUGUAGAGAUAUUUCUGACCCCUGAGAAGUUCUAAUCUAAAAGGGAAGCUUCCAUAAUAUGAAAUAACCUCCCCUUCCCUCUCUCUCUGGGUUUAAUCUGAGUAUUAUUUGGGUAGAAGCAAUUUUCUGAUUUUGAAACUUGUGCCAAAUGACAAGCUCCCAGGACAGGACAUUUCAGCUCACUGAGACUGAUGUUCUUGUCACUUUUACUGCCACCUCCAGCACAAAUGGGCAGCAAUGCCAGUUUCCCUGAGCAGCUGCUGGCAUCUGCCACCAAAAUGAUCUCUGGGGGAAUCCACCAGCAGACUGACUCCAGCUGAGAGAGCACAGAGCUUCCAACAUCUCCAUUCUGGGGCAGGUGUGCCAGUAGUCAGGAUGACCGACCUCUGAGGACUGUCUUGCAUUAAGCAAAAGCUUGAAAUGUGCGUCUGGCACAUUUUGGGCCGCAAAGGGUGGUAUUUUUGGACUAAUAUGUGUUUCGACAAUGUGUUCAAACAAUUCUGAAGAUUUCCCACAAUCUAAGCGCUCGUGUUACCUCCUUGCUGGCACUUUGGAGUAUUCUCCAAUUUAAUUUAAUAUCUUGCCUGUGUGUGACCAGAAAAGCUUCCAAAAAUGGUUCCACUUUUAAAUUCAUAGAAAAAGAAUAGUCAAUUCUUAAAUGAUCUGACCAGCACUGAGGCAAUUUCUAUACAUUUCAAAGUAAGUGGUAAUAGAGAACCUUCAUAAAGCAAAUCCUAAACCAUCCCAAACUGUGCUUUCCCAUGAAUGAAUUCCAUCACAAAAACUGCCUGCAUGUGGACUGCAGGAGCUGAAACACAAGAUGUGUUAGCACAAAGGCUGUGUCCAAUCUCAGUCACAACACACAGAGAGGGUAUUGCUAAUCCCACUGCCAGACACUAAGUAAUUUCUUACAGGAAGUGGUUUGUUCAGUCCCAGCAGAGAAAGAGGCAGUUCCACCAUAGGGGCUAUCCAAUUAAGUGCAUUUUUUCAAGAAAAGAUGUAAAAAUAUUUUCCUUCAUAAGCCUGAGCUUCAGCUGUGUAUCUCUAGUGACACAGUAUUUUCGUUCUGCUUGGCUUUUUGUAGUGUUUCAUGAUGUGACAGGUUUCAAGUAUUUAGUGAUUGUAAGAUUAAAAUAUGCAGUGUAAAGGUGGCAGAAGUAUAAUGUGUUUGUUUGUUGCUUUCUUGCUUGAUUUUCCUUAGGUUAGAAGAGGCCAGAAGAAUUCAGAUAAAUCAGAGCUAAAAUGUGGUUUUUUCAAUAUUGAGGAAAUAAAGACUUGUUUACACUUGGAAUAUUCUUUAAUGUAGGCAACCCUUGGAGUAAUAGUAUAUAUGGGGGAGGCUGAGGCUGGAGCUAUUUCUCCUAAGGGAAUUGUGAAUU